rnacentral:rRNA from 1 species
CUUCCAGACUCCUACGGGAGGCAGCAGUGGGGAAUAUUGGGCAAUGGAGGCAACUCUUAUCCAGCAAUGCCGCGUGAAUGAAGAAGGUCUUCGGAUUGUAAAGUUCUUUAAUUGGGGACGAAAAAAAUGACGGUACCCAAGGAAUAAGCCCCGGCUAACUACGUGCCAGCAGCCGCGGUAAUACGUAGGGGGCAAGCGUUGUUCGGAAUGACUGGGCGUAAAGGGUGCGGAGGCGGUGUUGCAAGUUUGAAGGUAAAGGCGGGGGCCCAACCCAAGGACUGCUUUGGAAACUGUGUAACUUGAGUGCAGGAGAGGUAAGAGGAAUUCCUAGUGUAGCGGUGAAAUGCGUAGAUAUUAGGAGGAACAACAGUGGCGAAGGCGGCUUACUGGACUGUAACUGACGUUGAGGCUCGAAAGCGUGGGGAGCAAACAGGAUUAGAUACCCUGGUA